UAAAGAGUGCCAGGCAACGGCCAAUGGCUUCUACAAUCCCUUUCAUCCUGGACAGUCCAGUGUUGUGAUACCCUGACACCAAGACCCUUCCUUGGUUGUCUGGCACAGUGCUGCCACAUACCAUCUCAGGAACUUUCAUUUAUUUCCCUUUGUGUCCAAACAUCAGAAAGGCUUUCUGAGUUGCUUGCCAAGGUGUUCUUCAGCCUUCCCUAGGCUAAACUUCUCCAUUGGAUCAAUAGCAGGUGGUCAACAAAGACAAAAACACCAUCUUCAGAAUGACUCAGAUCAUCCUCUUGGGCAGCCCUUUUUGGAUAUCUCUAUGAAAUUCUGCAGCUGAAAGCUGACACGCAUAAUUAUUUCCUGUUAGAUACUGAAGAAAAAAAAAAGCCCAGGAGAUAUUGUCGAGACUGUUUCUGGGGUGUGAUUGGGGGAUAGGAGAUGAAUGGUGUCAGAAUUGGAACAUGAAGUAGAACUUCCAGUAACCCCUAGGAGCAUCAAGUGACCCAGAGAGGUAACCCCCUCCACCAGGGUCCAUUGCAUCCAUUGCUCUCUCACAGCAACUGAGGCUCAUGGGACUGGAGUGGAGUCGGUAGGAAGGAACAGUCUUUGAAGUUAGAUGCGCCAGGUUGUAACCCCACUUCCACCAAUUGUGGUAACUUUGUGAGACAAGCCUCAAAUUUUACCACUGUACCAAGAAAUGAAAGCCAGAAUGUGGAAUUGGAGCUGGUAAUGACGACGUCAGGACAGGUUCAAAGGAAGCCCAUCACUUGAGUAAAAAUUUAUAGCCCUGCUUGUGCUGUGCUGUGCUGUGCUGUGAGUUUCAGUUCCGGGCCAGCAAAAGAUUUAUCAAAGGAAAGCAACAAGGUAAGAAAAAUUAAUUUCAGAGAGGAAAAUAAAGUUGCUUGAGGGGCUCUUCAAUGACCAAAGGCCAUAAGAGACUGGAAGGCAAAAGGACCCAUUAAUGUAAUCCAAACAUCAGUCUCCUGCAGCAAAGAGGUGAAUGGAGAAGGGUGGAGAGUAGCUGUGGACGAGUGAAAAAGACAUCGCACCAUGUCUUCAAAUUACAUCCAGCAACUUCAUAUGAACUAUGAAACCCUUGUUGCCACAAUAGUCC
rnacentral:lncRNA from 1 species